UUCUGGAGUUCGUCUCUGUAAUCGGGACUAAAAACUUAAAAUUAGAAGCAAUUAAGGACCACGAGUCAUCAAAAAGCCACUUACACACGAUAAGUUGUAAACUUUCAAAGAACGCGCUUCCGGAGGAGACCGCUGCUGUCAAGGCACUGACGUCCAUGAAAGCAUCGCAGUUUGAGAGGAUGCGACUGCUGUUUCACAACGUCCAUGCGAUUGGAAAGAAGAUGAGGCCCUUCUCCCCAGAUAGCAAAAAAUAUCCGCAUGGCUUCUAUAUGCCGCCAGCCCCAAGCUGUCGGCUAUAGGUGCGUCCCGCUGGCGGGGAUGAAACUUUUGCCGCCGAAUACGUCACUCUCAUUUGUUGCGAGAUGCCGCCAGCAUGCAGCCGGCGGACCGACUGCUUAAUUUAUGCAAAAGCGGCUGCCGCGGUGGUCCGCCGUCAGACCUGUUUGCGAUUACGCCCUUGUGACGCUUACUGCCGCCAGAGCACCGCCGGUGGUCUGCUGACUCAUUGCUAUCUGGGUCUGACUACGUUUGGAUGUGCGAGUAAGUAUUAAACAGUUGGUGAGAUGGGAUGAGAAUGCAAUAAUGACACAGGCUACAGUAUAAUCGCAGUUGCACAGAUGUGUAGUGCUGCUGUGACGGAUCAGAACUCUUGAUGUGUAAACUUUAGAGAGAGUUGCGCUACUGUGUCUUAUACUGUAGUACAUUAACAUAUAUUUUGUGAAUAGAGUAAUGAAAAACAACGUAUGUGGGGCAACUGUUUAUGUGCGCGGGUUUAAGGGCACUCAAUAGGGCACAUCGGAGAGACGUGUUCCCAAAAGCAAGUGUACAUAAAUUCUUUCUCCUCUUGACAGGCCACAGGCACGUAUAAACAAAAUGAUCUUCACAGUAUUCUUUUUCUAAUAAAACAUUAUUUUUAUGUCUUAAGUGUAUGUAUAGAGAGUCAAAAACAGUCUGUGCUUAUUUGGUCUUAAAGAGACAGUAACCUCUAUUAACAUACUUAAGUCUGUGUCAUUAAUGUUAAUCAAACAACCCAAGACAAAGAGAAAAUCACUUCUGUAGCUCUAAAAAAUAAUAAUUAUAUUUAAUUCAUACAAUAAAAACAGUUAUUAUUCAUUCGAUUCGAUUUCCAUACCUAAUGCUAAUUUAAGACCUUACUUAAUGUGCAACUUUGUUCUUUUUUAAAAAGGGUUUGUAACUUCUUUAUUUGUUAUUAGAUUUUUCACACACUUUUUUUGCUGUUAUCAUCAUGCUAACUGUGAAAUGUCAUUGUGUCUGUAGGGUGGAUGAAAAGAAAGGGUUAGCUGUAGGGAAGACAUACAGAAAUGCAAACCAGGCCCAAGUCUUCAUGCACUAUAUAGCAGAGAUUGAAAGGAGGAAGGUAAAGGAGGAGAUAUCUGCUACCAAGUUCAUCUCUAUAAUGGUAGAUGGAUCAACAGACAGCAGUGUAAUGGAAGAAGAGUUGGUCUACACUAGAAUGAGCAGAGCAGGAAAAGUCAAGGUGCAGUUUGUGGCCAUCCAGGCAUUGAAAAAGGCAUAUGCAGCACAUAUUACAGAUGCAAUAUGCUCCCAGAUGUCUGCAAUCAGUGUGGUGAGGAUUGGAAGGGAAGCUAGUUGCUUGUGGGACGGAUGGAGCGGCCGUUAUGACAGGAUCCAAGACAGGAGUUGUCAGCAGGCUUCGUGGGGAAAGGAUGUACAUUUUAGGAGUCCACUGUAUGACACACCGCCUUGAGUUGGCUUUUAAAGAUGUAAUGAAGACCAACAAUCUCUGUAGGAAAGUUGAGGACAUCUUAACUGACUUGUUCACCUUCUAUCACAGGAGCCCACUGAACAGAGCCAAAUUAAAUGACAGUUUCUCAGUGCUAGGUAUAAAACCCCUGAUGCCCACCAGAAUAGGAGGUACAAGGUGGGUCUGUCGCCUAUUGAGGGCCUUGGACCAUUUCCUUAGGGGGUUUAAGGGGAUUGUACAGCACCUUGAGCAGAUGCAAUCACCAGACGAUGAAGGGGUAAAUCGUUGGAUUCCAACACCUACCAGGGUGUUAACCUGAGACCUAGUGAGACCAGCCACAUGAUGGCUAACAAAGACAAGCUUCUGGACAAGCUGUCCGACAGCAUGGACACAGGGCCGGCGCCACGAGGGGGCGUGAGGGGGCGUCGCCCCCUCACCGGCACUAUCUCGCCCCCUCCACCAUUAAUGUUGAAUGGGAUUUUAUUUUAAUGAUAAUAUUUUAUUUAAAAAUCACAUUUGCCUUGUGUAUUGUCUUCCUAAAGUGAAUUUUAUAGUCUAAUUAUUUAACGAAACCAAAAAAUCAAGUGUGCAUGUAUUCUACCGUGACAUUAAUCAACACACGCCCACUCCAUGGCUUGUUACACUUCAAGCGGCGCCACUAGAACUGUGAGGCGAUGAUGAAGUCAAAGCGCCGCGAGAGCGAGACGAAAUUACACUUUGCAUGAUUUCUCGAAUCGUUCUCGCGGUACUUUGACAUCAUCCGACUGUCGGUUCUUGCAGCGCCGCAUGGAGUUGAACAAGCCUAUUGUGUUGACGGCUUGACACACGUCGACAAUGAGCCCGCAUUCUCAGUCUCAGCGGGAAAUCAAGAUGUCGAAGUGCGAAAGUAUAUCAAAAGUUACAGAAAGGAGUGGGACAGUGACCCGGGCCUGCCCUGUAGCAAUGGAUAUAUGGAAAAUAGGACUGCAAAUUCUGCAAACCGGACUGCGGAUUAUCACACAUCAAUUAAUGCCGUGGCAUGGAUUAUUAUCGGAGCAUUUCAGGUGCACAGAACCAAAUGUUCGGCUGUCAUGUCAAUUCUGGCACCAUGAACUUCAGCCAGACUGUACAUAGUUUUGAAAAGUUCAGAUGUUUAUGUUGUUCAGCAUCCUUGCAAGUUAAAGUACAACCAACACAGCCUAUUAUUGUUCUGCGUUUAACGUUAAAGGUAAGCAUACGAUCUCUCUCUCUCACACACCUGUUUAUCAGAAGUAAAAUACAUGUAUUAUUAUUAAUAUUAAUAGAUAAAAACAGACAUUGAAUUUAUAACUAACGAAUAGGUAUUUGAAUUAGCCUAUCCUAUCCUAAAGCAUAGCUAAAUGUGUAAACGAGUUGUCAUUUUGCUAUUGUGGUUCUCUAUCUGCUGGUGUUUAAUCGCUAGCUUAUGGUGCAUUACUUAAAUAACUACGUUAAAUGAUCAAAUUGAACCAAAAUUUUGAUAAAAUGUUGCGUUUGGACCGUUUUUGCGCUAGAAAUCAUUUGCAAACACUGUCCCCCACCAUUACGUAAAAAUUAUUUGCACUACGGAAAGCAAACACUAAGUACGAACAUUUCAUAAUUUCAGGGUUUUAUAUUACAUUAACUAAUUUCACAAUGGACAGUCGAAAUGGAUUAAAAAGAACUACCUCUGGGUCUGAACUUCAAAUGAGCAGUGUUGAGCUGUUAAGUAACGUUAGGUAUGCUUUUUUGUUGUUGUAUAUAGUAAAAGGGUUCAGAUCAUGUACGUUGCUCACUAUAGCUGUAGUUUUUGUGGUUGUAUUACAGAGAUGUUUGUUUAUAACACGUUAAAGCUUAAGGGACGUACCAAAGCUAUAUGUAUUUUCUAGCUUGGGGAAUUAAAUGCAUUUUGUGUGAUCGCCCCCUCUGGUAUUUAAGACGCCCCCUCAUCAGCGCUCGGCUGGCGCCGGCACUGCAUGGACAACAGAUUUGGGGAUGUGGGGUCUGGAAUCCUGAGCGAUUCAAAGAUAGUGAGCUUUCAACAAUGGCCUGAUCCAGAAAACAGUGCAGACUUUGGUGAUUUAGAAGUGGACAGGCUCACAAGUCACUUCAAGCCAAUAUUGAUCUCUUCUGGAGUUGAUGUCGAUCUGAUUGCAGACCAGUGGACCAUCCUCAAGUCCUGCCUCUACAAGGAGCCACAGGCACUGGAGAAGAUCACCUGGACUGAAGUUAACAGGAUGCUGAGGGAGACAUGCCCUGACUUUCUGGACCUUGUGGAUCUGAUGUUAUGCAUGCCUACAUCAACAGCAGACUGUGAGCGUGGGUUUAAUGUAAUGAAGAUGGUAAAGUCUGAUUGGCGGUCCAGUCUCAAGUGUGAGACACUGUCUGACCUGCUCUUUGUCCAUCUGUCCUCCCCCUAAAUCAAAGACUUUGACCCUAGCCCAGCAGUUGAGAUGUGGCAUGCAAGCAGCAUACGGUCAAGGAGACCAGAUCUCAUGGAAGAUGCAGCAGAGGUGGAGGAACAGGAUUGCACGUGUUCUUUAUUUGUGGACUCAGAUUAGGAGCAGUUAGUAUACUG